GAUGAACGCUGGCGGCGUGCCUAAUACAUGCAAGUAGAACGCUGAAGGAGGAGCUUGCUCUUCUGGAUGAGUUGCGAACGGGUGAGUAACGCGUAGGUAACCUGCCUGGUAGCGGGGGAUAACUAUUGGAAACGAUAGCUAAUACCGCAUGACAACAGUUAUUGCAUGAUAACUGUUUAAAAGGGGCAACUGCUCCACUACCAGAUGGACCUGCGUUGUAUUAGCUAGUUGGUGAGGUAACGGCUCACCAAGGCGACGAUACAUAGCCGACCUGAGAGGGUGAUCGGCCACACUGGGACUGAGACACGGCCCAGACUCCUACGGGAGGCGGCAGUAGGGAAUCUUCGGCAAUGGACGGAAGUCUGACCGAGCAACGCCGCGUGAGUGAAGAAGGUUUUCGGAUCGUAAAGCUCUGUUGUAAGAGAAGAACGAGUGUGAGAGUGGAAAGUUCACACUGUGACGGUAUCUUACCAGAAAGGGACGGCUAACUACGUG
rnacentral:rRNA from 1 species